GGAGGGUUAGCCAAGCGGUAAGGCAGAAGUUUGCAAAACUUCCAUGCACCGGUUCAAAUCCGGUACCCUCCU
rnacentral:tRNA from 1 species